UUUUUUCUAGAGGGUAGACAGAAUUGAAGCCAGCAAGAAACCAGAACCUGUGCCAUCAACGUCAGGCGUGACUGAAAUUGCAGCUUGCCCUCCGUCUCUUAUUGUUGACGAUCCUUCAGCUCUACCAUCUCCCACCUCCUCUCCCUCCUCCAGUCAGUAACUCUUCUUGCCUGUUCAUUCGGUGCCAGCCCCUGUAUGCCAGCUGUUGUACUGUACUACUGUACUUUUCAAGCUGGUCUGUCUCCUGAGGCCCGGGCGGCCAGGUCGCAGAGAAGAGCGAGGAAGGAGAAGAAGGCCGUGAGCGACUAGAGAAGACUCUCCAGAAUGUUAAAUCUAGCAGGAACCUGGGAGAUUCACUGAGGAGUUGAAGAGAUGGAGAAACUGAGGCAAAAAUGGGUUAUCACUUGCCCAAGACCAAAAAGGGGAAAUGACUGGAGCGCCCCUCUCUUAAAGUUCGCUCAUAUGUCCCCUCAGGAGGAAGUGAAGGCCAGGUAAGUGGUGUGUGUGUGGGGGGGAGCCGGGGUCAUAAACCAGGACAGGGAGCAGCCAGGAGUAUGUGAGAGCCUGCGUGUAUGAGCUGGGUGACCCCGUCUGUAUCUAGUUCCACAUGUGGAACCUCUGGUUCUCAGUCCAGGAUAAGGGCACAGGUGGUGGUGGGUAACAGAAGAUGGGGAGAGAGCCCCCCUUCAGCAUACCCUCACCCCACCCCAGGGACCAUCCUCACCGCCUGGAGUCGGUCCGUCAGCUCCCUUCUCCGGUUCCUACACUUUGCCGCUGCCAGUUUGUUUCGUUCUCGGCGAACUCUUCUCUUCUCCUCCUCCUCUGGAGUGAGCUGAGUAGGGGAGAUAGAGAUAGUGAGAUGUGGGGGACACGUGUUCCUCCCCAUCCACCCCAAACCUCCUCUUCUUCAAGAACCCCCAGUAGUCAGAAAAGAACCUUCUAGACCUCACGGACUGUGGGGAGGAUGAUAGGGUUUCUGCAGCAUUGAGGCUGCAGAUGGUCCCUCACCCCAACAGUGGCAAAGUUAAUGCCUCUCUUCCUUCCUCCCCCGCCCCCGCACCCGCACCCGCACCCAGAGCAAGCUCUGAUGCCCUCUACUCACCGUCUCCUCUCGGGGUCUCCUAGGCCGGGCUCGGGCUGGGCGGGGCCCAGGUCCAGUCCCAGGUCCACUGGUGGUUCCGCUGGUAGAAGGCCCACCACUGCCACUAGCUCCGCCACUGCUGUAGCCACUUAUGCCCGGCGUGGAGUAACUGGUUCCUGGCAUGUCAUAGGGGUCAACGGCUGUGGGCUGGGAGGCCAGUGGCUGCCCCUGGGACUGGGCCAUGGAAGAGAUGAGGGUAGGUUGCACGAGCCACUGGAGGUCCUGGCUGGUUGUGAUCGCGGUGAC